UGGCUUCAGCUCGAGGUUAACUGUGAUCAUGAAAGCAGGCCUCUCAGGGAGAGUCCCUCUCAUUGCACCUCGAUUGGGUUGACCCCUGUAAUUACCCCAAAUGUGGGCACCUCGAGCAUAUUAUUUCUGGUAGUGGGGACCUGCGAUCAGUUCGUCCCAA